GCCAGCAGCUAUAUCACCCUGUAACUCACAACUAGCAACCCACUGAAGCUCAGCAGGUGUGAGCCUGGCCAGUACCUCGAUGGGAGACCUCUUGGGAAAAACUAAGGUUGCUGCUGUAA
rnacentral:rRNA from 1 species